rnacentral:lncRNA from 1 species
CAAAGAGAGUAGCAAGGAGAAAUGUGGUCCAUACUAUUGGAUGAGAAAUGCAUGAUAUGCCUGAAGAGCUCAAGGCAUACAAACAAUCGGUGGGAAGCUGUCAGGAAAUUGAUCCUCUGAAGGCACUAUUUAAAGGAACUCUGUCCGGUUAGAAAACUGUUGCCAACACCGAUCACUUUAAAGUUCAAAGAACAGAUGCUGCAACUGCAAAAGGCUGGAAAGAGCAAGGGUCACAUGGCCUGUGUUCUGCCUAGUAACAAGAAAGCAUAAAAGACUCCUGCACCCAAGAGGAGAGGCUGUCCUUCCUGAAUGGCAGCACAGUACGUGUCCGAGCCAAGACUUCAAGGGAGCUACAGAACAUCACAGAAGAAGAUCCAAAUUCCAUAGUUCCAGUUAUCAGUUCCUGAUUGAUACCUGUAUCCUGAACUCCUGUGUCCUCACCUUGCUAUCCUGAUGUAUUCCAUCCGUGAUGUCCUCUGUCAUGGGUCCAUUCCUCUGAACUUGGUGUAGUAUGCUGUGUACCUCUGUACCUUACCUGCAGUAAAUUCCCCUUUGUCCUCAUGGGUUUGGGACCUUGACUUUAUGUCAGUUUGUUGUGCCAACUUGUACCUGUCUGCCCUUUGUAUAUUGUUUUGCUGGGGGUCUUAUAAAUUACUGUUUCCUGUUUGAGUCACUGUUUAAUAAACCAGUUUGCUUUAUAGUUAAUCCUGUUCUUUGUUGAUAGAUGUGGUUUGGGGGAACAGGUCUUCUGGGUGGGGACUCUGAGGUGUGGAACCUAAAGCACAUCCGUCUGCAUUGCAUUUGAAGAACUGAGGUUUUUGUACCCACGAA